GUCCAGCUGAUGAGCCCCAAAUAGGAUGAAACGCGUUUCCUGAAC
rfam:Schistosoma mansoni strain Puerto Rico chromosome 4, complete genome